rnacentral:rRNA from 1 species
UACGUAGGUGGCAAGCGUUGUCCGGAUUUACUGGGCGUAAAGAGCGCGCAGGCGGUCGUUCAAGUCGCGUGUGAAAGCCCCCGGCUCAACUGGGGAGGGUCACGCGAUACUGAUCGACUCGAAGGCAGGAGAGGGAAGUGGAAUUCCCGGUGUAGUGGUGAAAUGCGCAGAUAUCGGGAGGAACACCAGUGGCGAAGGCGGUUGCCUGGAGCUUUGCUGACGCUGAGGCGCGAAAGCUAGGGGAGCAAACGGG